AGUGUAGGUGGCUCAUUAAGUCACAUGUGAAAUCCCCGGGCUCAACCUGGGAACUGCAUGUGAUACUGGUGGUGCUAGAAUAUGUGAGAGGGAAGUAGAAUUCCAGGUGUAGCGGUGAAAUGCGUAGAGAUCUGGAGGAAUACCGAUGGCGAAGGCAGCUUCCUGGCAUAAUAUUGCACUGAGAUUCGAAAGCGUGGGUAGCAAACA
rnacentral:rRNA from 1 species